ensembl:lincRNA
AAACCAUGUGGCUUGACUUUACUUUUUAAUGUGUUUCCCAGAAGAGAAAGUGGUUAUCUUUACCAACUGUCAUUCAAACAUGAGGAACAAGGGUACUUUUAAACAACAGGGUACAAUGUGAUUGCAGUGGUACAACAUGUACCAGCCAGAGAUAUGAUCCCCUCACUGAUGACUAACAAUGUUGGUCUCACACCCAAUCUCCAGAAUGCCUCCAUCAAAGGGAAAUCAGAAAAUGUCUUGAUGAGGAAAGAACCAGCUCCAGUCAGGAUUAUCUUCUGCACAACUAAGGACUGUCCCUCAAAAUGUUUCCUUUUUCACCUGAGCAGUCCAACACCGGGAAGCAAAAGAGGAAAAGAUGGAGAAGAUUAUUUCUGCUGGCCUCCAGGAACCAGGGUUGUUUUCUUUCUUGACUGUGAUCUGGAAAUGUACAACCAGAGGAUCUCAAUAAAUGCUCCAAUGUGUGACCAGCUAAUUUUAUUAACAUCAGUUCUCUAUGAAAUGAUGCUGCAUUUACUCGGUAACAGAAUGAAGUGGCAUGAAUGAGAGGCGGUGGACACUAAUCUGUGACUGAGAGAGAGGAGCUACCACCGAUGAAGACCGGUCAUCUGGGUUUCACAUUUCUCUGUGAAUGAACAGUUUUGAAAGACUAAGCCUCGUGUAUCUAUUCUCCUUUAAAAGUACUGCCUUCCUAAGGAAAACACCCUCAAUGUAUUCAUUUUGUUUCAGUUCUUUGUCUGGAGCUGUUGCUACAACUGCUUUAAUGAGAGACAAUUUUUUUUUCUGUCAUCCACAGUGUCUUUUGCAGCCCUCUUUUGAAUUAAUAAAAUGCAUUUUCAAAGUGUUUUGUUGGACUUAGAAGUGCUCUUAUAAUCCUCCACAAAGUGAAACUAACCAUAACUUCAUGAACCAUUUAAUAAACUAGUAUCCAGUUAUUCCAAAGAGCCAUUUAUUCAUUCAUUAAGCCAAUUAUUAAGCCUUGAGACACGUAAUUACCUGGAAUUUAAGAGACUAUAUAUUCUCAUUGCUCUUACCAAAAAGUAUCACCUCAAAUUUCACUUGCAAGUUACUGUCUGCCUAACUCAAGACAGUUAUUUGUGAUAACAAAGAAGUUUAUCACCAUUCUAUGUAAAAGAGUCUGCUUGUCAAAAUCCAUAGUAUGUUUGUCACUGUUGCUAUGGGACACAGCAAUGGAAAGUAAUCAUAAUUUCUGUUUUAAAUAUGUGACUUAUAUCAGCAUUUGCCUUAGGGUAAUUUAAAUAAAUUAUGCUAAAAUAGCAAAUUUUCUCUUUCACUUUUGUCUGGUG